rnacentral:tRNA from 1 species
GGGGCUGUAGCUCAGUGGUGGAGUGCUUGCCUACCAUGCGUGAGGCACUGGGUUCAAUCCUCAGCACCA